CCAAUAGCGUAUAUUAAAGUUGUUGCAGUUAAAAAGCUCGUAGUUGAAUUUCGGGAUUGACACAUCGGUCGUGCCUUAAGGGGUAUGAACUGGUGUAGUCAAUUUCUCACCUUCUGGAGAACCGCGAUGCCCUUAAUUGGGUGUCACGGGGAACCAGGACCUUUACUUUGAAAAAAUUAGAGUGUUUAAAGCAGGCAUUUUGCUUGAAUACAUUAGCAUGGAAUAAUAAAAUAGGACGGCAUGAUUCUAUUUUGUAGGUUGCUAGGAUCACCGUAAUGAUUAAUAGGGAUAGUUGGGGGCAUUAGUAUUCAAUUGUCAGAGGUGAAAUUCUUGGAUUUAUUGAAGACUAACUACUGCGAAAGCAGUUGCCAAGGAUGUUUUCAUUAAUCAAGAACGAAAGUUAGGGGAUCGAAGACGAUCAGAUACCGUCGUAGUCUUAACCAUAAACUAUGCCGACUAGGAAUCAGACGAUGUUAAUUUUUUAAUGACUCGUUUGGCACCUUACG
rnacentral:misc_RNA from 1 species